GCCCGGAUGGCGAAAUUGGUAGACGCAAGAGACUUAAAAUCUCUCGGNGGCAACNCCGUGCCGGUUCAAGUCCGGCUCCGGGCACCA
rnacentral:tRNA from 1 species